CUUUUUACAGCACUGGUGUUGAAGCAAAUGAUGGAGGAAUGAUAAUUUGAUACAGGUGAGGUAGCAAGGCAGAAGAGCAUAAAAGGCAGUUGCACAAACAUCUUUUCCAUUCACUUGUGCUUCAACAAGAGACAUUCCACCCUUCUCUGAUGUUAAAAACUGUAGAUCCCAAUUAUAAGAUUGGCAAAGUUCUUGCAGUUCCCUGAAAGGACUAAUCUGCAAACUGGAGAACCUCAUGAUUGGAUCCAAAAAGGAAAGCAUUAUCGUCCACAUAAGCUCCAGAUUAAACCCUGAAUCAAGAAGAAUGGCACCCAGAGAAGACUCUACCAAGUCACCCAUAGCCUGAUGCAAUAAGUUACAUCAUUCUGAGUUAGUAAUAUGACAAUUACAUUCCCACACCCCCCUCCUUCUCUCCAAAAAGAAAACAAAACAAAACUCAAAAAAAAAAAUGAUGGCUAGGAGGUCAGUUCGUCAUUGUCACCAAGCCACAACAGAAAAAAUUCACAGAAGAUUGCAAUGUCUACCUUCGGACAUUUUGGCCCCUCAAGAAGACUCCCUUCAGGCGCUUGCAUUUUAACAGCAGCCACAUACAUCUCAAUUGCCUCAGUAAGGCUACUGGAAUCACAUAUAAGAAAUUUGUGGAAGGAUCGUUCUAGUGCAAGAUUGGCAAACGCCUCACUAUUCACAAACAAAGAUCUCAAAUCUGUCAAUUGACCAGGCUUCAACUUUGGAUAAGCUGAAUAAAGAUAUGAUGUAAUUAAGUAAUCCAAGACAGCAUCUCCAAGAAACUCCAAUCUCUGAUGAAAAAAGACAUUUCAAAUUAUCACAAGAUAAAAUGUUGCAUAGUUGUGCAACUGUCAUAAGAGAUAUUAAGCAGAGAGAAUAUUAUUGUCUAGUACCAGAAGUAGAAAGGACAUAGUGCAUACCUAAUAGCAGCCUCCUAUUAGAAAUGUUGCUAUUCGUGGGUUUAUGGGUGUUUGGAUGGUUGAAUAGGUUAUAUAUUGUUUGCUUGUUUGUGCUUGAUGGUCUAUACUCUCCUAUUAUUUGUUUAUGAUCUGCUAUUCGCAGUUUGUUCUCUGCUAUUCAUGGGUCUCUGUGUAAAAAUACUGUUCUCUAUUGUGUAGAACAAUGUUCUCAGUAAAGUGAAUGAUGUUGGUUGUCUGAAUGAUGGUCUAUACUCUCUUAUUCUUUUUAAGUAAUGAUGUUGAUUCAUUUCCUGUUUCUUUUAUUUUGAAACUCAUUAUCUGAUUUAAUAAUGGAAAAAUACUUUUCUGGCAUAUAAACUCUUAGACUAUGAAGUCAAUCUGCAAAUAAUGGAAAAUCAAACAAUUUGUUCUAUACAGGAAAAGGUUUUGCCAAACAAUUCGAAUCAUGAAACCAAACAGAUAAUUUAUAAAUAAUGAGGUGUAGGACCAACAUUUUCUUUUAAUGAGGUCUUUUAGUGCACUGUUCCCCUUUUAUUUCAUGGGGUAUAUUGUUUCUUAUGGAUUA